rnacentral:rRNA from 1 species
UACGUAGGCAGCAAGCGUUGUUCGGAGUUACUGGGCGUAAAGGGUGUGUAGGCGGCCUGUUAAGUUCCGUGUGAAAUCUCCCGGCUCAACCGGGAGGUGCGCGGAAAACUGGCGGGCUAGAGUACGGGAUGGGAGAGUAGAAUUCCUGGUGUAGCGGUGAAAUGCGUAGAUAUCAGGAGGAAUACCGGUGGUGUAGACGGCUCUCUGGACCGUAACUGACGCUGAGACACGAAAGCGUGGGUAGCAAACAGG